rnacentral:lncRNA from 1 species
AAGGGUAUGACAGUCAUUUCACACUAACAUAGUUUAGCUUUCUACAACUACGUUAAAAGAUAAUUCAACCUUUUAUAUUUUAUUCUAUAAAAAAAUAGUAGAAAGAAGAUCAAGGGUAUGACCGUCAUUUGGUAGGACGACCAAUGGAAGAAGCCAUAAUAAUACACAUUUUUUUAGUUCAAAAUUGUCAUUACAAUUGGCUGAUAUAGACUUAGCUGAAAAUGGAAAGUCCUAAAAGAUCUAUCCAAUUUCGUGCUCUCCUCAUCUUCGUCGAUCAUUCCUGCCCGCCAUUGAAGAGUAACUCUAUGGAGAGGUUUGUUACGAGCUUAUCACCAUGAAGAAUUCAACUCCUUCACAAAUCUAGCUUUGUUUCACUGAGAUAAGUCAUUNNNNNNNNNNNNNNNNNNNNNNNNNNNNNNNNNNNNNNNNNNNNNNUUAUUGUCCUAACAGGUGAGCUCCAUAACCUAACUGAUUCCACUAUUAAAGCUAACAAAUGCUCGAAUUUACCUACCCCUCAAUUGGAUAAACCUUAUAAUAAGUAUGUAAACUCAAUUUGGUACAGUUAUGUUUAUCAUAGUUGUUCACCGAUUCUAAAUUGUUUAUGAAUCAUGUUGUUGGUCUGUUUAAUCCUCAAGUUUCAGGUACAAGUUUUUCCCAUUUUGAGUAAUAAUAUGUAUUUGUGUUUUAGUUUUUGUGGCUGCAUGUGUUAAGAAAGUUACUAUUAUAGGGAUUUUUCAUGUAUUUUUGUUUAUUUUUUACUAUAUACAAGAGAGAAUUUAAUAUUUUGGUAGUCCUCACAUUAAUUUUUUUUGUCAAUUUUAUUCCUAAUUUAAAUUUUAAUUAUUCUACAAACUUUUAUCCAUUUUGAUAAAUUUGAACAAUUAUUUAGAUUUAUUAAAUGCUACAAAAGUGAUGAUUCAUGAAAAAAUGAUAGUGACACCAUAAAAGUUAUUUAUAUAAUCAAAUUCAAAAUUGAUCCAAAAAUUUAUUUCCUUUCUAUUUUGUAGAAAUGUUUAUUAAUCUUACUUCAAAUUUUAUUUUUUCUAACAAAUUUAUCAUGAAUAAGUAAAUAAAGUAUCUUGACAUUCCCUUUCUAACUUAGUACAUGCAUAAUUAUUAAAUAAGAAAUUAUUUUUUAUAUAUAGCUAAAAAUAUUUGAAAAUUUAAUUUUAAGAAAAUAGAAUUUAACUCUCCAAAUAUUAAUGAUACUAAAUAAUGAAAAAUGAGAGCAAUACUUUUUCACAUUUUUUUAUGGUGAAAUUUUUUAUCAAAAAAAUGGGAUUAUCAACAUUCUAUAAAAUUUAGGACAAAAUAUGUAGUUUAACAUGAAAUAUUAAAGUUUCAUACAUAUUUAAGAAAUAUUAACAUAGAUUUCUUAACAUGUAUUUUUAGGGGGAAAACUACUAAAGUUAAUAAAAAAAUUAGUAACUUUCAAUUUCUUUUGUAUGGUUUAAUAUGAAGAAAAAUAAUUAAACUAAAUAAGGUGAAAGUAUUUUUGCAAACAAACUAUUUUAGACUCCAUGAUAUUUCUAAGGGCAUAAAUGUAAUUUUAUACUCCAUGAUAUUUUAGUUAGUUGUACUAGAACUCUACAGAGUAAUUGAUGAACAGAGUAAUUGAUAGAAAUGUCGAAUUAUCCCCUCUUUCAAUGGCUUCUGCAAAUCUCUCCUCUAUUUGUAUGUGCAGAAUUCAUCUAUCUUUCUAAUCUUCUAACUUUCUCACAAACUGAUUCAUCUUCUUAUUUCCUCGAAACCUAUUGCAUAUCAAAUUGCUCUUUCAAUUUUCAAUUUCUGGUAAGCUCUUCAUCAUUUUUUUUUUAAUUUUCUUUCAUGUUCUAUUUUUUUCGCGUUUUUAUUUUUUUAUUUUUUGUGGAAGUUUUAUUUGUCAUUAUUUAGUACUUUCUUCGGUUCAAUUUGUUUGAUUUAUUUCUUUUUUAUUUUAUUUUAUUUUUUAAAAUUUUUUUAGCAAUAGUUGUAAUUUUAAUUUUUCACAUGUCACAUUCAAGAUUAUAAGGUUAAAGAAUAUUUUAAUAUAUUUGACAUAUCUUUUAUUUAAUAUCACAAUAUUAAAUUAUAUUUUUUUACUUCUUAAAAUUUCGUACCAAAUUAAAAUAGACCAAACAAACUAGAACAGAUAGAGCAUUAACAGAAUGGUGCAUUUCUAAGAAAAAAGUACAAAACUUGUAGAUGUUAAAUUGUGCUUCUGAACAUAUAUGUAUUUUCAAAAUUCAAACUUCUAAAAUUAUGUUUUAGCCAAAGGUUAUUUUCAUAAGCUUCUAAUAAUUAUAACAAACUUAUAAAGUUCUUUGAAAUUAAUUUAUAAAUCAUUACGGAUAUUAUGUCAUACCAAAUUAAAAAAGAUUUUGAAUCUUAUAUUAAUAGGCUAAAGAUAUGUAUAAUGUAUCAAAAUACUCUUUAAUUUUACAGAAUUGAUUAAAGCGUUGUCAAAAAUAAAGAGACGUUCUCCUUUUAAAUGUAUCAAAACGAAUGUAGUACUCUAUUAAUAGUAAAAAUAAUAAAAAAAGAUACUGAUAAAUGAUGAAAAAGUAUUCAUUUAAUUUUAAAAUUAUAUAUACUAAAUAUAUUCUAAAAUUAUAAUUUAUUUAAUUUAAUUGGUACGUUUGCUCAUAUUAUAUCAUGACGUUAUAAUUCGUACACUUAACUACAUAUAUCUUUUUACAACAUAUUUACAAUCUUCAAAAUAAAAUAUAUUAUUUUGAGGUAGUAUAUUCUCUCAUUGGGUAUAGAAUUUUUUUUUUAAAAAAAUAUACUAAAUUGUCCUCUUAAUUUUAUAGUAUAUAAAAUAAUAUGUGAAACCAUAACUUUUUCAUUUUUAUCACAUUUUAAAGAAUGAUAUGAUUAAUUUUAACUUUCAUCAAAUAAGUUGAAUUUCAUUCUCUAAACUCCUUCAAGAUAAAUUUAUAGAUGGAUCAUUUUUUAUAUUUUUUAGUUGUUUUGUAUGAUUCUAUAAAAAAAUUAAUAUAAUUAACACUUUAUUAUAACGUGUAUCUUUAUCAUCAUUUUUGAUUGUGCUAUUUUGAAAAUAUUGAUGAUCAUUUAAAAAACUAAUUAAAUGCCUAUAAAUAUAUUUAAAAUAUUAAUAUUGGGCCCGUAAAACGGGCCCUUCAUUAUCUAGUAUAUUAUCAUAUAUAGUAUAUGUCUAUUUAUGAAAAAGUAAGAAACCCAAAGUUAGUUUUCUCCUAUAAAUAAAGGGGUUUCCUUCAUUAUAAUUCGUGAUUCAAAAAUCCCUCAAGAGAAAUAAGAAUUACUCUCUAUUCUAUCUCUAUUCUUCUUUUUCUUUAUUCUGUAUUAUUUCAUAACAUGUUAUCAGCACGAGACUCUACCUUUAAAUAUUACUCUAAAAAUAUCGUAAGGUCUACAAGAAGGGAAAAUUUUCUUCUUUUAAAUCGGUCUAAAUCGAAAAAAAAUAUAUGUUCUAAAUUGUUGGCUUUGAUGAAAAGCAGUAACGAAUUAUGGGCAAAAGGAGUGGUAUUCCUUUGACUUAUUUUUCCUUUCCGUCUUAACAAAAUAUGAUUUCAUGAUUGGUUAAAACUAAGAAAGUGAUUAACAUGUUUUCAAUUCUUUAUGAAAUCUGCUAGUACGUUAUAUUACAUGAUAAAAGAUAAAGUGGUCAAUACACAUGUAAGUAUUUGGGAUUUUUGCUUACUUUUAAUUUAAUAAUUUUAUCAAUAUCUUGCUAAGUUAUUAUGUAUACGUGAAAGUAUAUAUAAUAGCUAUUUUGAUUCUUAUUUUCAUCAUGAUUAUUCUAAUGAUAAGAUGUUGGGUUCAAGUCCCAUCGAUUUAUGCCUAAGACACUUUUAUAUGGAUAAGACAUUGCGUUUGAAUCUCAAUACACCAUAUUGAUGAUAUAAUGAUGGCUAAGGCAAAAUAAUGUGUUUUGAUGAAAAGUCAUGAAACUUGUCCAUUGAAUAUGCUCCAUUCCAUGAAGUGAAUGUGGUAGCAAUAUAUGAUAGGUCUGAAAAAAGAUAAUUUGAUCCAUUCUUGAAGUGAAUGUGGUAGCAAUAUAUGAUAUACUUUGAAAGACAUGUAUGCCUCGAUGUGCUCCUGAAGUAGCAAUAUCAUAAAAGAGGUUAUAAGCUAUCAGAAUUUGAUAGGCUUAAGACACGAUUAUAUUCCAUUUUUAAGGAAUGAGAAGCUUAUUAAUGCAAACGUGCACUUGAUUGUGAUGGUAUCAAAACUCACCUCCAAAAGAGGUUGAAUAAUUGAGAAGAGUUAUUUUGAAAUCUACUUCUAAAGUAGUAAAUUCAAAAUUUAUUCAUGUAGUAGUAAAUUUGAAAUUUACUAAAACAAAAAGCACAUAUCAUGGUAAACUUGGAGUUUAAUAGAAUAAAAUUUCAAAAUUUGACAUGAGUGAUUGCGACAUCCGAAAGAUGUGCAUACUGAGUAUUGAACAUAUAUUGAAGAAUUAAAAAAAAUUCUUCAUUACUUUUAAUAUUGCUUGUUCUCAUGAUAAGUUGGUUGGACCAACUAAUUUUGGGAUUGGAUCCCUCAAAAUCUGAAAAGUAUAAAAGGUGAAUAAGGGCUCAUUCACCUAUCAUGUGAUAUGUUUUGAAAAGAUGCAUCAAUAAGAUGAUCACAUGUACAUUUAUCGUCAACCUACAGUUUGACAUUCAUAAAGUUGUUUGCUCAAUAAAAUUGAGUUAAAGAACAUAAUUUUUAGAUUGUGUAAUCAAUACAAUUCAUCUUGAUGAUGAUGGUUUGACAUUAAAUGACUUCUAUUAAUAGCUAACCCAUUACUAAUGAGAACAAAACUUCACGUGUUGGUCUAAAAUAUGAUAUGUUACAUACAAUAGCACUUGUAUGCCUUAAACUAAUAAAUUAUGAUUAUUUAUUCCCUCUCAAUUGGUUCAAGGUCAGGAACCAACUAUUCCAUCUAAUAGUUAAUGUGUGGUAUACGAUUAAUGAAUACAACAUGAUGCACAAAGAUGGAUUCCUCCCAGAAGAUGAAUGAUGUAUGUUAGUUUUUCUAACAUAAGGGGGAGAUGAUAAGCAGCUAAUAAAUAUGUUAAGAAUUAUCAUCAGAUCCUCAUUCAAAAGAUAGUUCAAGUUGAAUGCCGAAAGCAUCUCAUAUUUAAGCUGCAAGUGUUCCUAUUUUGUGUCCCUAAAGGACAAAGUCUGCACAUGCAUGAAGCGUGAUAGACCGAUCCGCUCCAAAUAAAAUAAUUCUUAAAAAAGAUAAGGAGCGAAUGAUCAUAAUAAGAAGGUAAUGUGCUCUUGAAGAGCCUACGACAUAACACUUCAUGAAACCUUAUAGGAGGUUCAAGUACCUAAAAUAAUGAAGUGAUAAGAUCUCAAAAUGUUAUGUCGCAUUGCGAACCAAUACAAAAUAAUAUAUUAUCGAUAAUAUCUUUGAUACAAUAUUGAUGCAAUAUUGUAAAAUAUUACGAGGAUGCAAAUUCUACGUUUAUUUAAGUAUGCUCAUGUAGAAAUACUGGUAUGACAUGACCAACUUGAAACAAUGCAUUUCGGUAAGCAUAAAACUUAUUUGAUUUGCAGUCCAGACACUUGAAGAUGUCAUACAUGAAAAAUUGAAUAUUGUCAAUUGACAAAAUUUAUAUAAAAACUCUUUUAAGGAUUCAAAAUAUUUGAAGCAUAUAAAAGUUUUUGAGAAACUUAUUUAUAAUCCUUAUAUUUCAUAAGCUUAUAACUUGAAAAUUAUUGGAACUCUUGGACAGUUUUUAAAAGCAAUAGAUUAUUUGCUGAAUGACAAAUAUACCAAAUUAAAUUGGUUGUGAAGUACCAUAUCUUAGUUCAAUUGAUGCACUAAUGUAUCUUGCAAAUACUACAAGGCAUGACAUAGCAUUUUUCAGUCAAUUUAUUAGCAAGGUAGUUCUGCUCGUACUAGGAGACAUCAAAAUGAGAUCAAGUAUAUAAUCUUAUUUAUUCUAAAGAUUGUAGUCCCAAUCUGGUUGGUAAUGUUGAUGUUGGGUACUUAUCUAAUUCGUAUAAAGCUUGAUCUUAAAUAAUUUGUUUUCAUAUGGCGGGGUACCAUCAUAUCUUGGAGAUAUACAAAGCAGUCUAUCUAGCCACUUCAUUGAACUAUGCUGAGAUGAUAGCUAUUCAUGAAGUACGUCGAGUAUGUAUGUGGUUGAGGUCCAUGAUACAUGUCAUUCAAGAAAAAUGUGGUUUGAAAUAUGACAAUGUACCUACAAUUUUAUACUGAGAUAAUAGAGCAUACAUAACACAUCUUAAUAGGGGAUUCAUUAAAAGAGAUAGAACAAAGCACAAUUUAUCAAAGUUUUUCUAUAUAUAAUGAGCUCCAAAAGAAUGAUGAUAUUAACAUGCAAUAAAUUCGUUCAAGUGAUAAUUUGGCUGAUUUAUUCACAAAGGCUCCUCCAACUGCAACUUUCAAGAAGAUGGUGCACAAGAUCGAGAUGCAAAGGUUAAUUGAUGUUCUUGUCAAGGAGAAAAAAUACGCGUUCUACUCUUUUUCCCUUUAAAGGUUUUGUCCCACUGAAUUUUUCUUGUAAGGUUUUUAAUGAGGUAGCCGAUAUGCAUAUUGUUAGAGAUGUGUACUCUUUUUAUUUCACUAAAUUUUUUUCCACUGAAUUUUUUCUAGUAAGGUUUUAACAAGGCAUAUUAUCUAUCAAUUAGACAUUCAAAGGGGAGUGUUAUAAAUAUAUUACCAUAUAUAGUAAAUGUCUACUUCACCAUAUAUAGUGUAUAUCUAUUUAUGAAAAAGUUAGAAACCUAAGGUUAGUUUUUCCCUAUAAAUAAAGGGGUUUUCCUUCAUUGUAAUUCACCAAUCAAGAAAUCCCUCAAGAGAAAUAAGAAUUACUAUCUAUUCUCUUUCUACUCUUAUUCUUUAUUCUGUAUUAUUUUAUAACAAAUAAAGCUUUAUGAUUUCCUAUAAAGCAAGGAUCUCCAAAUAAAGAAAAUUUCAAGAGAGAACAUAAUGUCCCAAAAAUGCUAUGCAUGAAAAGCUCUUUUUUCUCUUUAGUAUUAUAUGUGUUUUUAUUUAUAUGUUUCUCGAUUGAUAACUUUGUUUACUCUUUAUUGGUUACUAAGUUAAGAAUCUUUGUAAGUAUGUAGGGGUGAUUUGAAAUUGGAACGGCGAUAUGUUGAUUUAAAGAUUGAGUUAGAAAGAGAUGCUAGCUAGCUCAGCCCUAAAUGAGUUAGUGGGACUGAAUAUGAUAGUGGUAUGUAUGAAUCUAUUAAUGGUGAGAGGUGGAGGUACCUCGUGAAUUUAGUUGAGGUGCACGAAAGAUGUACAAACAACACAGUUAUAAAAAGAAAGAAAAAAAGGGCUAUUGACAUAGCAUUCUCACAUCGUGGCAUUGAAUAAUAUGAUACAACUACAUUUGAUGAGAUGUAACUUUGAAAAAGUUCACAUUAGAAUGAUCUAGAAACAAAGAAUCAGUACUAAUGGCAUAAAUAUACAAAUUUACAUAGAGAAUAGACAUUAGACAUUCAAUGUGGCAUGAUUUUAGGCCAAAAUUUAACAAGAAAUAAUUUAUGAUCUCAAUUGAUAGGGAUCGAACCUACACCGGUAGAAUACUAGAAAUCAAUUAAAAGUAUGACAUGACCAACCUAGGGACAUGACUCUAGUAGAAGCGUCAAUCCAAUUUUCAGUUGGCAAUGUACAUAAUAUGUAAAUAAAGAGAAAGAGAUAAAAUAGUCCCACUCUUCCAUUUCAAUAACCUCUCUUACUUCUCCCCCACCCCACCUAAGAAUGUAACAUAUGGAAAAAGAAACGGCAUCCCAUUGAUGAUUGAUGAUGUUUCAAGUGCUCAGCCCAAUGCAAAUACUAUAGAGUUUUUAAGAUCCAUGUGUCGAGGAUUCAUAUUUUCAGCUAUCUAUACUGGCUAUUGUGGAAUAUGAGAAAUAUAGCAUAAAUCAAAUAGACUUUUGAAGAUAGCAUGAUAUAUAAACGGACAACAUGAUAUAUAAAUCAUAUCACAUUUACUCCCCAAGGGUGUAUAAUGUAGAAUAUCUACCUGACACGAGAUACACAAGCAUUAGUGAUUAUGACAACAUUUGGGUAAAACAAGAAACAGACAACAAUUAACAGUUUAAAUAUCUAAAGGUGAUUAUUUGUGAACAUAGAAAAUAGUUGUGGCAGAGUAGAAUAUCGAUCACUAUUUUUCUAAUAAACGAAAUAAAUCAUUUUCAAUACGAUUAACAUUUUCUCCAUGAGGAUUAGAUCUAACCCCAAAAAAAAGAUGACAUGAGAACCUAAAUUUAUACCAAUAAAAGUCCACAUAACUUUUUACCCGUCAUUAAAAGAUUUUAUGAUAAAUAAAAUUAUCAUGUGUUAUUUUCCUAGAAUAAUUAUCAUUUAAUUAUUAUUCUAAUAUUUAGGACUUUAAAAUUAAUUAAAACUAUAACUAUUAAAUAUAAACUUAUUUUCAAGUGGUAAGAACUCUUAAUAUUUAGAACUUAAAGUUGGCUAAAAUUUUACUUCUUAGAUUUUGUAAGAUCCCGCAAAAUUUCAUAAUUUAUUUUUUAUCCUCCCGCGUGCGUAAUGUCAACUUCUAACUUGAAUUAUGAUUAAAAAUAUUAAAAGAGUGUUUUGAGAAAGUUUAAGAAUUAUUGAAAGGGGUUCAGGACCAUUUUGGGACUCCGAAGUAGUAAGCCUCUGUAAUAGUGGUGUGCCACCCCACUUAGCUUUCGCGAUAAGGGCGUGACACAGAGGCAAAGCUCCACAAUAGUGGUGUGCCACUCCGCUAUGUUAAAUUGUCUAUUUUUGUUUAUUUUUCACUUGGGGUGAGGGGUUCUUGGUCCUUUUACCUCUUGCACGACUUUGAAACACUCCAUUGACCUUUUUCCUUAAGUCAUCAAAGAUCAAACACCAUCCUUUUUCUCUUUAACUCUAACCCCAAGAAAGUUCAAGGGUGUUAUAGAGAAUUCAUCAUUCGGGCUUCCAACUUUGAUUUCUCUUCAAAUUCUUUGGUAUUUCAGGCAUGUUUCUCAUCCUUAGCUAGAAUUCUACAUUAUGACCUAUAUUUAAUCAUUAUUCAUGUGAUUUUAAUUUUUGGGUUUUGAAAUUGGAUUGAGGGAUUUUGAUGGUUAUUACUUGGAUUGUAUUUUUCAUGAUUUAAAUAUGUUGUUUAUACUUUAAUUGAUGAUUUUGGGGUUGAAAGGGUGCAUUGUUAUGAGAACUGGAAUGAAAAAUAUGGGUUUCCCCAAAAUUGAUGAAAAUUUGGCUUGAUAGUGGCAUUAACCUUAACCUACAUUGAAAUCUUGGUUUCUAAUAUAGAACUUGCAUGAUUUUACUUACUUUUGGAACAUUGCAUUAAAGGAUAAUAGAUACUAAAAAUGAUUUUGGAAUGCCCUUGGUUGCAACGGUUUAGAUUUUUAAAUAGAACUUGGAAGUCUAAUAGUUAUAUGAAUUUGGUUGGGCAUAACUGAAUUAACUUGCAAACAUAUUGAUAUGACGAUACCAUAUUUGGAAAUGCAUUAAAAAUGACUCCUUGGUCAAUGAUUGGAUUUAUGUGCAAACUACUUUAAUUUGAAUUUAAAGAGAAUUGUGUAGUUCACAGUGAAGGUAUAGUCUCGAGGGAACCAAUAUUGAAAAUCAUAUUUAUCGACAUGGGGUUCUAUUUGACUAUGUGCUUGAUGUACACUUUAUAUUUUUUUGAAUGGCUAUCGCCUUGGUGUCUUUAUCCUUUCCUUAGCUUUCUUAGAACAUAUAGCUAACACGCACUAGGGUCCUUCUGGCAGGGGGAAUCAGACCCAUAUAGCCCAUGGGUUCCUUUAGGACAGAACGAGUUGCAUAGUUCAGGCUAAGGAUUUAAAUUUUUAUGUUCAUGACCCUUGCCCCUAUCCUGACAUCCUAUAUUUAUUAAUAUUAUGUAGGUGGUUUGAAAUACCCCAAGUGUCGAUCUCUGAGAAAUUUUUGAAAUUUCGUACUCACUGUCCCGUCUAUGACUUACCCUAUGAGUCGUAGAAAGUCUUAACAAUUCAUAGGGAGUCUUAAAUAUUUUUUGAUAUCAGAGCUUAGGUUUCAUGUCAUUAGGUGUACACAAAGCCAUAUCAAGUAGAGUCUCUUUUAUAGGUAUGUUGCGUGCCACACUUAUAAGGGAGAGGCUAUGAGACAUUUAGGAAUGUUUCCCUUUCUUGUUGUUUUAUUUCAAGCUAUAGAGCCUAAGAUCUUGAAAUCUCCUCUAAUUCUCGUAUGUUUGAUUUUCAGAUCAUGCCUACCAGAAGAUCUAAUGUUCAUGGAAACUCUUCUGUACCGUCUAAGAAUAAUGAGGACAGAGCUCAUCAUACUCAAGGAGUUUAGACCCGUUCUAGGGUCACUGCUUCUGAUUCCCGUAGUGGAGUUUCACCAGUUCCCCUAGUCCUCAUCGGCCACCUCAGAUGGGUGUAUCUAAUGUUGAGUUUUGCCAGUCAACCCAGUUGGUGGCCUUUCAGAAUGAGUAUGUUUCUUCUAUUGCUCCAUCCUCAGAGGUCACUAGAUUUGGCCAAUUUAUGAGGUUGAGUCCUCUAACUUUUAGUGGCUCUAAAGUUGAGAAAGACCCUCAAAAUUUUAUUGAUAGAAUAGACAAAUUUUUUUGUGUAAUGCAUGUUAUUGAUGUGGAGGGGGUGGAGUUUGUUUCUUAUCAAUUGAAGGAUAUGGCAUAUCAAUGUAUGUGGAAUCAGAACAGCCUAGGGGUGCUGAUGCCGAGUUUGCUUUGUGGGAUGGCUUCUCUAGUACUUUUCUUAAUCACUUCUUUCCUCAGGAGUUGAGGGAGGAGAAGGUUGAGGAAUUCUUGAAUUUAAAGCAAGGCAGGAUGACAGUAAAGAAGCAUGCCUUGAAGUUUCAUUAGUUGUCGUGAUAUGCUCCAGAAUUAGUUUCUAGUAUAAAGGCUAAAAUGAGGAAGUUUUCUUCUGGGUUGUCUCGUAAUUUGAUCUUGGAAAGCAAGUCUGCCUUGUUGAACAAGGAUAUGGGCAUCUCCAUACUUGUGGUGUAUAUGUAAUAAGUGAAAGAGGAAAAUAAAAAUUAAGUGGAGAUAAGUGAAAGGCAGAAUAAGAAGUUUCGAUACUUAUAUCAGGGUGGAGGUCUACAGUAGAGUGGUAGAGAUCGUGGAAAAUAGUCUAAAAAGAAGUGGGGCAAUUCUGGUUCCUACAUUAUGGCUAGUGCUCCUUAUCCAAAGCUGUUGGUUGAUCGUCAUUUUAGAAUAGUAUGAGUCCAAGGGUACAGGGUUCCUAGCCUCAGACUAGUGAGGCUCAGUCAGCUCCAUCAUAUCCCCCUUGUAGAUUUGUGGUCAGGUGCAUCGUGGUAUUUGUGAAAAGGGGAGGAACAAGUGCUUUAAAUAUGGUCAGAUUGGUCACAUGAAGAGAGAUUGUCCUUCUAAGGUUGCUUCUGGGGAGAAUAAGAUUCUUGUUUCUACUUCAUCAGCUCCUACACCAAAGUGUGCUACUUUUGCUUCUGCCUUCGGUACUAGUCGAAAUCGUCUAUACGCUCUUACCACCUACCAGGAUUCUGAGGCAUCCUAUGAUAUUGUUACUAGUAUGCUCAAACUUUUCUCUUAUGAUGUAUAUUGUCUACUUGAUCCCGGGCGUACCCUGUCUUAUGUGAUCCUUUGUAUGGCUGUUCAUUUUGGUUUUGACCAUGAGUAUAUUUCGAAUCCCUUCUCUGUGUCCACCCCGAUGGGUGACUUCAUUAUGGCUAGAAGGGUCUAUAGGGGUUGUGUAAUGACGUUUUAUGGUAGGGACACCCUGGUGGAUCUGAUAGAGUUCGACCUAUUAGACUUUGAUAUGAUUUUGGGGAUGAAUUGGUUGCAUUUGUGCUAUGUGUCUCUUGAUUUUUGGACCCAAAGGGUCAGUUUUCACUUCCCUAAUGAGCCGGUGAUUGAGUGGGAAGAUAGUUUCCUAGUGCCUAAGGGAAGGUUGAUUUUGUAUCUUAGCGCCCGAAAAUUGGUAUUUAAGGGGUGCCUCUAUCACUUAGUGCAUGUUAAGGAUUCUAGAUUCAAAGGUCCUUCUUUGUAGACUAUCCAUGUGGUCUGUGAAUUCCCAGAGGUGUUCCUUGAUGGUAAUUCUGGUGUUCCUCCCUAUAGGGAAAUUGAUUUUGGGAUUCAUCUUCUUUCGAACACUCGCCCUAUUUCUAUCCCUUAUUACAAAGUGGCUUCGGCUAAGUUGAAAAAACUCAAGGAGCAGUUGAAAGAUCUUCUGGAUAAGGUUUUUAUUUGUCGUAGUGUUUCUCCUUGGGGUUCUCUGGUUCUAUUUGUGGUAAGAAGGGUGGGUCCCUUCAAAUGUGUAUAAAUUACCGAUAAUUGAAUAAGGUGACCAUAAAGAAAAGGUAUCCCCUUCCAAGAAUUGAUGAUCUCUUUGAUCAGCUUCAGGGUGUUAAGUACUUUUUUAAGAUUGAUCUUCGGUUAGGUACCAUCAGUUUAAGGUUAGGGAGUUCGAUAUCCCUAAGACUACUUUUCUAACUUGGAAUGGUCAUUUUGAGUUCUUGGUGAUGUCCUUUGUUUGACUAAUGCCUUGACAAUAUUUAUGAAACUAAUGAACUGGGUACUCUGUUAGUUCUUGGAUUUGUUCAUAAUUGUAUUUAUUGAUGAUAUUUUGGUGUAUUCUAAGAGUGAGGCGAAUCAUGCUGAUCAUCUCCGCCUUGUGUUGCAAACCUUAAAACAUCAGUGGUUGUAUGUGAAGUUCUCAAAAUAUGAGUUUUGAUUAAAUGUUAUAACUUAUCAGGGUUAUGUUGUUUAUAGUGAAAGGAUAAUGGUGGAUCUAUAGAAAGUUACGGUGGUUAAGAAGCGGCCUACACCCAUAAUUUUAAUUAACAUUUGGAGCUUCUUGGGUUUAGCCGGUUAUUAUAGAAGGUUUGCAAAAAAUUUCUCUUCUAUUGUUGCCCUAUUGACUAAGUUGACUCAAAAAAUGUAAAGUUCUUAUGGUUUGAUGCCUGUAAGGGUAGUUUUGAGAAGUUGAAGGAUAAGUUAACUUUGACUCUGGUUUUGACUCUACCUAAGGGUAUUGAUGGUUUGUUGUCUAUUGUGAUGCAUCCCGAGUGGGACAAGUUUGUGUGUUGAUGUAGCAUGACAAGGUGUUUCCAUAUUCUUCUAGACAGUUGAAGGUUCGUGAGAAGAAUUAUCUAACUUAUGAUUUCGAAUUAUUCGUGGUCAUAUUUGCAUUAAAGAUCUACGACAUUAUUUGUAUGGGGUACAUAUGGAUAUUUAUUCUGAUCAUAAGAUUCCUCAAUAUAUGUUUACUCAGAAGAAGCUAAAUCUCAGGCAAAGGAGGUGGCUUGUGUUACUAAAGGACUAUGACAUAAGUCUCCACUAUCACCUAGGUAAAGCUAACGUGGUUGUUGAUGUUCUUAGCAGGUUGUUCAUGGGGAGCUUAUCUCAUGUGGACGAGGGGGAAUGGGAUUUGGUGAAGGACAUUCAUAUUAGGCUAAUCUUAGAGUCCAUCUCUUUGAUCCCAAGAAUGGUGGUGUAAUUAUUCAAGAGGUGGCGAAGUCAUAUCUUGGUGCUGAGGUAAAGAAGAAACAAGUGUUGGACCCUAUUUUGAUGUAGAUCAAGGAGGAUAUAGGUACGUAGAAAGUAAUGGCUUUUGAGAUUCAUGGUGACGUUAUCUUGAGGUACUAAGGUAGAUUAUGUAUUCUCGAUGUUAAUGGGUUGCGAGGAAGAAUUUUGGCCAAAGCUCAUUAGUCGCAUUAUACUAUUCAUCCUAGUUCGACGAAGAUAUAUCAUGACUUAAGAGAAAUUUAUUAGUGGAAUAACUUGAAGAGGGAUAUGGCUAAUUUUAUCUCUAAGUGCAUGGUAUGCCAGCAAUUAAAGGUGGAGCACCUGAGGCUCGAUGGAUUAUUUUAAGAAUUGAGCUACUUGUGUAGAAAUGGGAAAUAAUAUGGAUUUCGUUACUGGUCUUCCACGGUCUCUCUAUAAGUUUGAUUCUAUUUGGGUCAUCGUGGAUAAGAUGACUAAGUCCACUCACUUCUUGCCAGUGAGGACUAACUAUUCAGUGAAAGAUUAUGCUAAGAUCUUCAUUGAGGAGAUUGUGAAGUUGCAUGGUGCCCUCGGUCCAUUAUAUCUUAUCAAGGUACUCAAUUCUCAUCUUACUUUUGGCGUUUCUUUUAGAGAAUUUUAGGGACUAAGAUGAGCCUUAGUACCGCCUUCCACCCGAGACGGAUGGGUAAGCGGAGAGAACCAUUCAAACAUUGGGGGAUAUGCUCAUAUCUUGUGUAAUUGACUUUUGUGAUAGUUGGGUUGACCAUUUGCCUCUCAUAGGAUUUGCCUACAAUAAUAGUUAUCACUCUAGCAUUAGUAUGGUUUCAUUUGAUGCCUUGUAUUGUAGAGGUGUAGGUCUUGUAUUGGGUGGUUUAAAGUUGGUGAAGAUAGGUUAUUUGGUCUUGAUUUUGUUUACCAAGCCAUGGAGAAGGUGAAGGUGAUUUAGGAUAGGCUUAAGACCGCCCAAAGUAGCCAAAAGUCCUACGCGGAUGUGAGGCGAAGGGAGUUGGAGUUUAAUGUUAGUGACUAGGUGUUCAUAAAGGUGUCUCCCAUAAAGGGCAUGAUGCAGUUUGGGAAGAAGGGGAAGCUUAGUCCCCAUUAUGUUGGUCCAUUUUUGGUUUUGAUGAGGGUUGGCAAUAUUGCAUAUGAAUUAAAGUUUCCUUCUAGUUUGAGCACCAUUCAUUCGGCCUUCCAUGUUUCGAUGUUGAGGAAGUGUGUGGGUGAUCCUUCAUUGGUUAUUCCUUUUGGAAGGUGUAGGCAUUUCGAAUUUCUUGUUGUAUGGGGAAGAUUCAGUGGAGAUAUUAGGUCGGCAAGUCCAUUGGUUACGGACGAAGGAUGUGGCUUCAGUAAAGGUUCUUUGGAGGAACAAAAACUAUAAAGAAUCUACUUAGGAAGCCGAGGAGGACAUGAAGGCCAAGUAGCCAUUCCUAUUCCCUACUCCAGAAAAUCAUGCGUAAGGUAUGUGUGAUCUUAACAUGUUUGAUUCCUGUCUUUGUUAAAGGUAAGUGUGGGUGCAUUUCUAUGUUAAAUUAUGCUAAGGGAUACCUUGACCUAUUAUUCUAGGAUGAAUAAUCCUAAGGGGGGAGAAUGAAAUACACCAGGUGUCGAUCUCUAAGAAAUUUCUAAAAUUCAUCCUUCCUAUCCUAACUAUGACUUACCCUGGGAGUCAUAGGGAGUCAUAACGAGUUGUUGGACCCAUAUCAUAGUCCUACCAGUAUAUGUGGCUAAGUUUUCUACUCUGAGUAUCAGUGGCUCAUUACGGGUCAUUGUGUGCAAAUCAUAGGAUGUAUAGGGUUUACCCAAAUGGUUAUUAUGUUGAAUAAGAUUGGACCCUACGAGUCAUAGAGUCUAAUUAUGAGCCACGAUAUAUGAGUCGUAAGGUCAACAGUGUGUGCCUGGUGACAUUGUCUUGACGAAUCGCUAUGAGACCCGUAAUGACUGACAGUUUAUUUUCCAGCUUUUAAUAGGGGUAUUUUAGAUAUUUCCCUCUUAUCCCAAUAACCACGACCUAUAAACAUACUUGGGGCCCUAUUUUUAUUGAUAACACGCUCCAAACAUUCUCUCUUCUCUCUCAAGUCUCUUAAUCUAUACUUAGGGUUUCCAAAAAGAAGGUCAAGGACAGCUUCGGGGUUGAAUUCUCUCCAUAAUCUUGAAUAUUUCAGGCAUGUUACUCUUGUCUAAUUGCUGCUAUGUUAAAAGCAUAUGUUUUAACGUAUUAUUCAUAUGAUUUUAAUAUUGGUUUUGGAACAUGGGUUAAGCAUUUUGAAUAUUUGUGUUUGAAUAAUGUUUUCCCAUGGUUUACAUAUGAUUGUUCAUGCUUUAAUUAUGGUUUUGAACUUGUGGAGUGCAUGGGUAUGGUGAAUAAGCUAUGGGAUUAUGAUUUUCCUCAAUUUGUGAAUAUUGAUAAUUGAAG